rnacentral:rRNA from 1 species
UACGAAGGGGACUAGCGUUGUUCGGAAUUACUGGGCGUAAAGCGCACGUAGGCGGAUUUGUUAGUCAGGGGUGAAAUCCCGGGGCUCAACCUCGGAACUGCCUUUGAUACUGCAAGUCUCGAGUCCGAUAGAGGUGGGUGGAAUUCCUAGUGUAGAGGUGAAAUUCGUAGAUAUUAGGAAGAACACCGGUGGCGAAGGCGGCCCACUGGAUCGGUACUGACGCUUAGGUGCGAAAGCGUGGGGAGCAAACAGG